CAGUGUUGUGCAAGGGUUAUUAAUUAGUUUAAUAGAUGUUAUCAAAGCUCACCGAUAGACUUGACAGAGACCAGACAAAGGUUAGGACAAUGUCAGUUAGGUGUUUGUCUUGUAGAGAGACUGAUAUGUGGGUCGGGACAGACAUUAGCAAUGUUAGUUUAGGCGUAGGCUAGAUACUCAGCCUAUAUAGAGUAGAGUUUGGGGCAAUCGGGACACAACGCCAUGUAGUUUUAGCAGGGGCGUGUGUCAUGUAGUGUUAGCAGGGGCGUGUGUCAUGUAGUGUUAGCAGGGGCGUGUGUCAUGUAGUGUUAGCAGGGGCGUGUGUCGUGUGCGAGGCGUUCUCUGGUGAACGACACAUACAGACAUUGGGAGCAAGUCGCCGAGGUUGGCUCGCGAUCUUGGCUCCAAGAGGUGUGAGUUGUUUGCCAGAGACAACAUGUAGGAACUUUAAUUCUUAAGGACCAGGAGUGACAGUCUUGGCGACUGUCUGAGUCUUAGUGACAUUCUGACGGUCAGAGACGGUAGAUCUAUAUAUGGUGUAUCUUUGCCUGCUACUCAAGGGGAUAUCACUCUAGUAUUGAGCGGACUGUGACGUUGGGUUCCAGGAUCCGUGCAGAGACUAGAGAGAGAGAGAGAGAGAGAGAGAGACAAGAGAAAUGGAGAGUUCAUCGUGACCUACAGCCAAGUAUCAAUAUCUAUGUGAUUAUUAAAUUUUAAUUCUAGAAUCACAUGAGUAUUAUAUGUAAUUAUAGUUGUUAAUUAAAUAUUUAUUUUUCUUAUGAAAAUUUGUGUCCAGAGAUCAUGAUUUAUAUCAUUAUUGAAUAUUGUGGUCUUUAAUCCAUAGUAUUUUGUGAUGCGUGUGUUGUAUCAGUUAAAUUACAUCAGUAAGAAUCAUCCUAGACGUAUAGACAUCAAGAGCUGAUAUCAAGAUCUUGACAAUUGGGGCCUCGUCUAAAGUUUUAUUUUAAUUUUCUACGACACUUUAAUGAUGUCUGGGGGCUAAUGAAUAACUGGGACCUGUUAUUUUUCUUUAAGUGAAAAUACUUUAGUUAUACUUGAUAUAGUAUUGACAUUUAUUUUUUUAUCCAUCAUAGUAUUGAGAAAAUUGUAUUUUGCUUGUAAAGGUUUGGACGAAUAUUCACUGCUUAGAAUUAGCAUUAAGUAGAGUUUCUGUUUACACUUGUAAUACCAUGAUUGUAUUUUUCAAGAUUUUUUUUUUUUCUACAUUUUGUUUUCUGCCUAGCAUUUGUUGUGGUACAGGUGAAUUGGCUGUUUGGCAGUGGACGUCACACAUGAUCUAUUUUUAGACUGUCACUCCUGAUUCCUGCGCCCAUUGUCUUGGGGCCUUCGUGUAUCCACGGUUUGAGGGUAACGUAGUUAUCUUCAGCGCGUGUUUUUUCAAUGUUUAGGUAAGCUGUAUGAUGUAGUGAGAUAGGUGUAAGUUUUCUUGUUUUUAUUUUUGAUAGGGAGCUUAGGGAUUUCAUAGAGGUGGGAUAGAAAGAGGUGGACAUUAUUUUUAAAGCAUAAUUACUGCACUGGGCAGUGUUACAUUUAUACUGUGCUUAUACUGUGUUUUUUGCAGGCAGACAGGGGCGAGUUAUUGUUUGGAGAAGGUAGAAGGGGGUUGGACCUGUAUGUUCGCGUUGGGCAAACGUAUAGUGUCGUUGUCCUCAGUUAUUUUUUUUUCUUGCUUUUUAGCUUGUUAAGUUUUGUAGAUGGUUAGCCAGGUGAGCAGUACUGUUGGCCAGUUGUUUUUUUUGUUGCCAUUUUGGUGUUUUGAUAGGCGGGAUAGGGGGUUUGAGAGACAGACAAUGGCGUUGGGUCAUGUAGUGUCUACCCCACCCAUGUAUUUUAGUAAUGCCUAUCAAACCUUGUAGUUGUUAAUGGAAGUUUUGGAAUUUCGUUUCCAGUGCCAUGCCAGAGGGCAGGGACAUUUGUUUUUCUUCUCCCUCUUAGUUGAGGUCGAGCGUUGAUUUUUUUUACCUGGUGUGUCCUUGUUGUACGGAUUCAUGGUAGUUAAGUCACAGGGUGACGUAAUGAUUUUUUGUUGUUGCGGCAAGAGUUGUUUUUUUUUACAGUGGGUCUCGAGUUUUGUUGGGCCUGGUUUCAGUUUUUUGUAUGCCGUCUAUUUUUUUUGCUUGAACGUGUUGAUGAUAGUUGGCUAUAGCUCUAUAUAGAAUAUCCGACAUUAGGUAUGUCGUGGAUUUUUUUAUUUCAGUGAGAUGUUGCUGUGUUGACAGAUCAUCAGUUUAUCAAGGUCAUUUGAUUAGUUUGUUCAACGUUUGAUAUUACUAAGAUGUUAAAGUUUAGGCCUGACGAGCUUGAAUUGGUAUUGAUUUUUUUUUUACAUAGAUUUUUUUUUGUUGGCAAAUAUUUGAGCUUUAGCUGAGUUAUGGCGAUUAAUGUACACGCUAUCUAGGUAGUUCAGAAAAUUGACGUUUUAGGACAUUUGUAUCCAAGGUGGAACAUGAGUUGUUUGUUGAAGAGUCAAGUGAGUCCUUCUAAUGGGGGAGGGUGCAUAACAGACACUGAAGUAAAUGACAAAGCGUUGUUUUUUUUUCUACGACAUGUGUGAUGGACACUGGCAAUGAGUACAGCCAUUUUACAAUUUCUAUUCUAUUAUAGGGAUGCUAAUGAAUUUUGUAUUUUCAUUUUAUUAUCAUUAUGUUUUAGUUACUUAUAUAUUGAAUUAUACUGUUCUAUAUUUAGGUCGAAAAUAAGAUGCAAGUGGAGCUUGCAAUCCGAAAAACUUUGUCCAUGAUUAGAUGAUAUCAUUUUUCUUACUUUUAGUUUUAUAUUAAUUCGUGUUUUACUUGCACUCAAGAUUUGAUUGGCAGAAUUGCAUGUUCACUUUGAUGUAUAUUUUUUUUGUAAAUCUACUUGCAGAGAUUCAUGACUAUAUUAUUUGAUGUUUAAAGUUGAAGUUUGUGACAGUUGCAGUGCAGAUAUAUGAGAUGACGAUGUUCACAUGUUUGUUUUGAUUUUUUUUUCUUCUUAAUUACAACCACUUUGUUUAUGAUUUUAUAAUCUUAUUCCAGUGUGCUACAGUUGCCUAAAGACUUUGGUUAGCAAUGCUGCAUGUGUUCUAUAACAUUAUUUUUAUGUCUCAAUAUAGUUCCAGAAUUUGUUCUCCAAAUGUGAGAUGGUAGAGGCAGUUUAGUGAGUCGUAUUAGUGUGACUUUGGUUGCAAAUAUUGCAACAAAAGUCAAAGGAGAAGGGGAAGAUGUCACAGUGUUGUGCAAGGGUUAUUAAUUAGUUUAAUAGAUGUUAUCAAAGCUCACCGAUAGACUUGACAGAGACCAGACAAAGGUUAGGACAAUGUCAGUUAGGUGUUUGUCUUGUAGAGAGACUGAUAUGUGGGUCGGGACAGACAUUAGCAAUGUUAGUUUAGGCGUAGGCUAGAUACUCAGCCUAUAUAGAGUAGAGUUUGGGGCAAUCGGGACACAACGCCAUGUAGUUUUAGCAGGGGCGUGUGUCAUGUAGUGUUAGCAGGGGCGUGUGUCAUGUAGUGUUAGCAGGGGCGUGUGUCAUGUAGUGUUAGCAGGGGCGUGUGUCGUGUGCGAGGCGUUCUCUGGUGAACGACACAUACAGACAUUGGGAGCAAGUCGCCGAGGUUGGCUCGCGAUCUUGGCUCCAAGAGGUGUGAGUUGUUUGCCAGAGACAACAUGUAGGAACUUUAAUUCUUAAGGACCAGGGUAAGAAGAAAUGUUUUUAUUAGUUAUAUAUCUAGUAUUAGAUGUUAAUUGAUUAUGAAUAAAUAGAAUGGCGCUUUAGCUAGUUGUUAGCGAUAUUUUUGAUUAUUUGUCUAUUUAGAGUGACAGUCUUGGCGACUGUCUGAGUCUUAGUGACAUUCUGACGGUCAGAGACGGUAGAUCUAUAUAUGGUGUAUCUUUGCCUGCUACUCAAGGGGAUAUCACUCUAGUAUUGAGCGGACUGUGACGUUGGGUUCCAGGAUCCGUGCAGAGACUAGAGAGAGAGAGAGAGAGAGAGAGAGACAAGAGAAAUGGAGAGUUCAUCGUGACCUACAGCCAAGUAUCAAUAUCUAUGUGAUUAUUAAAUUUUAAUUCUAGAAUCACAUGAGUAUUAUAUGUAAUUAUAGUUGUUAAUUAAAUAUUUAUUUUUCUUAUGAAAA